CAGGUCAUAAGCAUUUAUUUUCUCUCCUUCCCAUUCCUUCAAAGUUCAUUGAAAAAUUAAAAAACCAAACUAAAUCCUUGUAACAAAUAUAUUUUGUAACAAAACAGUCAAGCAAAACAAAUCUUGAAUUAACCAUGUCCUGGAACAGCUAAGUAGUGUAGUGGAUAGAGCACCAGCCUUGAAGUCAGGAGGACCAGAGUUCAAAUCUGGCCUGAGACACUUAACAUUUUCUAGCUAUAUGACCCUGGGCAAGUCACUUAACCCCAACUGUCUCAGCAAAAAAAAUAAAUAAUUAACUAUGUCCAAAAAGUAUAUCUUAUUUUGCUACCUGAGUUUAUCAUCUCUGUGAGAAGGCAGGUAGUAUGCUUCAUCAUUUGUCCUUUGGAAUCACAGUCAAUUAAAAUGUUGAUCAAAAUUCUUAUAUUUCCUUUUUAAAAAAAACAAUAGAUUUUUAUUUUCAAAAUAUAUACAAAGAGUUGAACAUUUACCCUUGCAAAACCUUGUGUUCCAAAUUUUUCUCCCUCCCUUUUCCCUACCCUUCCUCUAGACAGCUCCCCAAGUUCCACAUUUAUCAUGGCUGCACAAGAAAAAUCAGAUUAAAAAGGGAAAAAAAAAGGGAAAGAAAAAAUAAAUAGAUUUAUGAUGGAGAGAGCUAUCUGCAUUCGUAUCGAGACUGAAUGUGGAUCAUAUUGUGGGAUCACAGUGGGAUACUGUCAUGUAUUUUCCCCUUUUUGUUAUUUGCUUGUUUUUUUUUUUUCCCAUUUUUGUUGAAAAGAGCCACAUCCAUCAGAGUUGAUUAUCACAUAAUCUUGUUGCUGUGUACACUGUUCUUGAGAAUUUUUAUUUCAAAAUUAUUUGUCUUUACAAUGUUGUUUUUAUUAUGUAUUAUUCUCCCAGUUCUACUCACUUCAUUCGAUCAGCUCACAAAACUCUUCAUAGGUUCUACUUGACAUUUUUAUUAUUGUUCAUCUGUUUUCAGAGGAUCAAUGUUUGGGUAAAAUAGUGGAUGAUGGAUGAUAUCUUCACUGUGAACUGAAUUUAAGUGAGACAGAGUUGCAUUAAGUCUUCAGCGUCACUUUCUCUUCCAGAAUCAUUGAAGUCCAGAACAAGAAAGAAUUGCCGAUGGUGUCUUCUAAGUCUGAUCAAACUAAUUGCUCCACAGUGCCUGCCUCAGCUGCCUUCAUGGCUUUUGAUUCAAAUUCUUCUAUUUGCCCAUUCUCUCAGAAGUCUUCACAUCUUGGGGUAGACAACCCCUAACUCAUUGAGGGAUGAGACCACCAGUUACCCUCAACCUCAUUUAGCCUUUCUCCUGAGACGGUUUUACUAGUGUGACUACUGCUCAUACUAUACCUUGGAGCCCCAGGUGAGAACCAGGUAACAGGUGGACACCAAAAGUGGAUGAGCAUCCCUGUAAAGGAUUGUAAGCUCACACUAGAGGUGCUAGACUUCCUGAACUCUCUAUAUAUUCUUAUAGCAAUUAUGCUCAGUUACGCACCACUUAGUUUCCAUUUCUUUGCCAUUACAAAAAUAUACAUUUUUGUACAUCCUUUUCUUCUGUUUAAACUCUUUGAGAUACAGGCCUAUUAGUGGUAUUGCUAGAACAAAGAGUAUAUAUCAAUUUGGUAACUUUUGGGGCAUAAUUCCAAAUUGCUUUUCAGAAUGUUUGGACAAGUUCAUAGCUCCAUUGUCAAUAUGCUUAUUUUCCUUAAGUCUUGAUAACCUUUAUAAUUUUAUUUUUUGGUUAACUUUGUGAAUCCAAUGGGUAGCUUUGAUUUGCAAAGUUGCAAAGCCUGGGAAAUCCAACUCCUCUGAUUUUCACUUUCUCCUUUACACCAAGCCAUGUUAUUUUGUCUUAUAAUUUUGCUAAUUUCUUUGUUUAGUUCCUUCUGUGUCUAUUAUUACUUUUAUUGUCUUGAAGAAAUCCUAGUUGUUUGUCAACUGUUCAUACUAUUUUUGGAUUUUUUACUCUUCACCCUUGCACUGCUCAUGUUUUAACUCUUUAAUCCUUUUUUUAGUCAUGUAAUUACUACUUUGUCAAUUUUUUAUAAAAUGUUUUAUUGAUCCUUCUAAAGUUUUUACUAGUGUAAAAAUAGCAACUUAUCUAGGGGAGAGGGUGAGAGAAAGGGAGGGGAAAAAAUUUAGAAUACAGGUGAAUGUUGAAAAUUAUCCAUGUGUAUAUUUUGAAAAUAAAAAGCUUUAACAAAAAAAGACAAAAUUACCAAGUAAAUUUUCUAAUGUCAGUUGCUGAUGACUUCCUCCUACUAUAAAAUGUUCCUUUAUUAAAAGAAAAAAACUUAUCAAGACCAAAGUGACAGAUGUCAUGCCUCACAGAAAAGGCAAGAUCCUACACCUGUAGUUCACUACCUUUCUCUGGAGGGAAAGUCAUCCUUAGUGGUUGGGAACCAAAGUUGUUUAUUGUGCUUAGUCUGAUUUUUGAUUUUUUUAAAAUUACUGUUUUCAUUUAAGUUAUUGUGGUCAUUAUACAUUUUGUUUUCUUGGUUCUAUUUUCUUCUCUCAUCAGUUUCUACUUCCCAUGUUUUCCCCAUAGUUCUCUGAAUUUUCCAUUUUCACUUAUUACAUAAUAUUUCAUUAAAUUCAAACACAAUUCUAUUCCCCAAUUGUCAUAUACUUUAUAGACUGUUUUUGGCUAACACAAGAGCUGAUUUUUAAAAUAUUUUAUCUUUGGUACAUUUCUAUCUAACUUCAUUUGGAGAUGUGCCUAGUUGUGGGAUGACUUGGGUCAAAGAUAAUAGUCAUGCUUUUUCAUAUAUAAUUCUAUUUCUCAGGAAGUAUAAGUGUGUUUAACUUUCACAACACUUUUAUCAUCCUUACUAAUUUGAUGGAUAUGAAGGGAAAGCUCAGAGUUGUUUUUCUUAUUAGUAAUGAAAUUUUUUCCCAUAGGACAGAUUAUAGAAACUAUUCAAAACAUUACAUUGCAUUUUAAUGUUCACAUAUCUCAUUUGAUCCUUACAACCACCCUGUGAGAUGGGAGCCAUUUCUGUUCCACAGAUAAACUGCAGACAACAGGCUUGCUAAGGUUUAAAGAGGCCAAUUUUUAAUUCUCAUUCUCCUUGGCCUUUCUUCAGACUGAUACUAUUCAUUCUCUCCUUGAUACUCUUUUCUAGUUUUCAGGACACUGUCCUAUCAGAGUUCUAUGUAUUUGUUGGUGUUUUCCAGUGUAGAUGAGGUACUCACAAAGUACUAGCAGCACCUCUAGUGUUGAGAGCCCUUUUCAAGGGCUGCUCAUUCAGCCUUUAGUGUUCUGUCACUUGACUCUCACUUAUGACUUCAAGCUGUAGCAUGAACAGCAGCUACACCUGGGGGUAAAACCCAUAGGCUAAAGAGUGGGUGAUGAACUUCCAACUCCUGUGAGUUAAGGAACAUCCAGCCCAAGCAUGUCAAGAUUUCCAUAGGGGAAUGAGAUGAGAAUAAUUUGUUUCAACAGGCAUAAACUAUUUUCGUGGCUGAAAAAGAUGCUAUUCAUCCUGGUCAUCUUUAUUUCAGUCUUGGUCCUAGACUUGAUUCUGGAAGAAACUGAGGACUUCGUGCAACUCUGCCUUGCCUAAACUGAUAUUAUAUUGGUCCUCUUCAAAAACAAAGGAUGAACAUCUGACCACUUCUGUUUUUGCUGGAUCCUCUUCUAGAUUAUACUCUAACCUCAAGAUUUUAUCAUGUGCUGCUUUCUCUUCUCCCUCUAUACUAAUUUAAAAAUAUUAAUCUCAUAAGCUCUCAUUGAUCUAAACUGAUAAUUCUCAAAAAUACCUUUCCUGUCACCUUUGUUGAACCCCAAUUUCACAUGUUCAACUGUCUCAUUGAGAACGAUGUCCAAUGGACAUCUUAAAACUAUGUCCAAAAUAGAACUCAUCUUUAUCACAAACCCUCUCCCAUCUGCUACCUUCCCUAUGAAUUUAGAGGAUAACAUCAUUAUCCCAAUUCCUCAGACUGAAAAACCUACAAAUCAUUCUCAACUCCCAUCUCAGCGCGAUGCCCAAAAGACCUGUCAAUUUCUUUUGCAAUACCUCUUAUUUGCUCCCUUCUUUAAUACUGCCACCAAUGCAGAUCCUCAUCGCUUCACACUGCCUGCUGGUAGUUCUAUCUUGUUUUGUCUCACCCCUCCAAUUUAUCCUACUAGCGAUUUCCCUUAAGCACAGACAUUGCCUCUUAACAAAAACUCCAGUAGCUUCCUAUUGCCUCCAUUAUCAAAUACAAAACAUUUUUGUAUUCAAACCUAGUUCCCUCCUAAAGUUGUGUUGCACCUUACAUCUCAAUACUCUCAACACUGCCCUCCUAAACAAGAUACAAGUUAGCUCUGGGUCCACUAUUCUUUUUUCCUCCACUCCCAAUAUCCAUCUGGCCAAUUAAAAUUCUACCUACAGGGAAGACCAAACUUUUAAUUCCAGUACCUGUUCUCUGCUUUCCCUUUCACCUUGUAUUUCAGCUUGCUUUGUAAAUAUAUUUGCAUGUUUUCUCCCCAUAUUGGAUUGUUUAGCAACUUGAAGACAGGGACUGUCUUUUGCAUAUGGUUUGGCAUGUAAUACUUCAUGUUCAUCGAUUUAACUCAUUAUGGAUUUAUCUUAUGCGUGCUUGCAUAUAUAUAUAUAUACACACACACACACACUCUUAUUUGCAUGUCUAUCACUAAGCAUUUCAUAUUCAUCUAAAAACCAAUUAUCCUUUUCUCCAAACCUGUCAAGUCUUCCACAUUUCUAGUUCUGCCAUCCCGACCUAUUCUAAGUUGGCAAUCAAAAUGUUAUCCUAAUUUCCUUCACACUACAUAUGCAACUACUCCUAAGUAUUAUUCUUAAUACCAGUUUUAUUUCCCCAACAAUCUCACUGCUUUCCAAUUGUCUGGCAAUUUGAUUCAACUCCUGACCUCUCCCAUUGGGAUACUGCAAUAGCUAUUCUUCCCACUUAAUUUUUCUGUUGUAAUUUGCCAUAAGCAGAUCUGUACUUCUACUCAGUAACUUGUGGUAUUGUCUUCUAUAUAAAGUAAAACAAUUUUUAAAAUCCUUCACAAUCCAGUCCCAAAAUGCCUUUCCAGCCUCAUCAUGUUGCUCUUCCCAUUCCUAUUGAAUGUACCCAACUUUUUCUUUGCCGUUCCUUACAAUACUCAAAAACCUGUCUCCAUGCCUUUUGCAUUCAUUCCUGCCAACACACUUCCUCCACUGCUUCACAGAAUCCCUUAAUUUCCUAAAAGACAACUAAAGCACCUUUUUCUUGUGAGGUCUUUCCUGAACUCCAAUCUAUACUUGUUCUUGAUAUUUAUUUCCCCUGGGAAAAUAUAUGCUGCCAGCAUUUUUUCAAUUCCCAUGGCUUAGCAUUAGCAGUGGCAGGAACAUGGCAAAUACUUUAGUGCUGAUAAGUCACCAGGAAAGGACUGGCUCUGUGUAAAUCUUUAGAUAUCACUUCAUUUGUUUGAUUUUAACAUUUUCCUACUCAUUGGCUAUUAUGUAGCUCCUCUAUAUAAAUGCUUUACUCAUUUAAAAUCUUCUAAAUUGAUACUUUUGUGUUUAUUAUACAUCACCCCGUCCAUUAAUAGUUUGAACAAUUAGCUGUCCACUGCAAUAAUCUUUUUUUGUUUCAUCAACUUUCUUCUUUGUAGUUAACAUUUAAAACUUGCAUUUUAAAAACUAUUGUGAAAUUGAUUUGGAUUAGGCUUUUUGUAUAUACUGUACUUCACUCUCAAAAAACUAAGGUAACAUAUUACAGAGGUCUAAUGAAGGGUUCUUUAUACAUGUUAAAAAUUUGAUAAAUUGCCAAAUACCAAGUCAUUUCAUGCUUAUGAAAAGCAUGGAGCAGAAUGUUAUUAUUCAAGUGGCACUUAACUGGUCUUUAAAGGUGGCUUAUUUCAACAGGUUAUUUUAGAUAAAUACUAUCUUAUCACAGGCAUAGAGAAACUAAGAUUUAUAGACUGAACAGUGAAGUUACUCAGGUUAGAUGAAUAUAACAGAUCAGAAAUUGAGUAAGAGUAUAGAACACUUUGUUGAUUUUUACUUCAGGCAAAAAAAAAAAAAAUUAAGAUAUUGAUGUAGUGUCCCAUUAUCUGUCUGAUGAUAAAAUUCUCACGUUUAAACAAGGUGACAUUUAAAAAUUUUUCUUCUUAGUUUUGUACUUAAAUCACAUCUUUCCUAAAAGGAAAAACUAUUUGUACCCAUUUUAUAUACAAACAACUCACAAGGAGUGCAUUUCAAGAUCUUCAAAGUAAAUUUCUUUGCUAUAAAGCCAAGUUAAAUACACCUGAGCCCCAUUUUGAAUACAUGAAAUCAAAUUAGGAUUAGCA
ensembl:lncRNA